rnacentral:rRNA from 1 species
GAUGAACGCUGGCGAGAUGCUUUACACAUGCAAGUCAUACGGGAAUUUUUAAUUCAAGUGGCGGACGGGUGAGUAACACGUAAGAAUUUGCCUUUAGGAGGGGGAUAACAACUGGAAACGGUUGCUAAUACCACAUAUGCUUUCGAGUGAAAUGGAUUUUUCCGCCUAGAGAGAAGCUUGCGGCUGAUUAGCUUGUUAGUAAGGUAAUGGCUUACCAAGGCGACGAUCAGUAUCUGGUUUGAGAGGACGAUCAGACACACUGGAACUGAGACACGGUCCAGACUCCUACGGGAGGCAGCAGUGGGGAAUUUUCCCCAAUGGGCGCAAGCCUGAGGGAGCAACGCCGCGUGCGGGACGACGGCCUUCGGGUUGUAAACCGCUUUUCGAGGGGACGAUUGUGACGGUACCCUCGGAAUCAGCCCCGGCUAACUCUGUGCCAGCCGCCGCGGUAAAAC